AGAGAAAGCAAGAAAGAAAGGAGGGCAGAAAAGGACAAGUAGAUCGAAAGAAGAUGAAGAAAGGCAGGGCAGAUUGAUGUUUGUUUCUGCUUUUUUUCCCUUCUCAACCUUGUCGGACCUGUCUGUCCUUCUGCGUGUAUUCAUAGAGAAAAAGAGAAAGAAAAAAGACGAAAC
rnacentral:ribozyme from 11 species